rnacentral:ncRNA from 1 species
GCUGUGGUAGCAAGGCGUUCAUAGCGACAUUGCUUUUUUGAUCUUUCGAUGUCGUCUCUGUCUACAAUAAUGAGGCAAGGAUUCAGCAAGUCUUGGAUUGUUCACCCACUAAAAGGGAAAUCAAUCACAGACGACUUUUAGCAGAUAUUUU